GACGAACGCUGGCGGCGCGCCUAACACAUGCAAGUCGAACGAGCGAGAGGAGGUUUACUUUCUCAAGCGAGUGGCGAACGGGUGAGUAACGCGUGAGGAACCUGCCUCAAAGAGGGGGACAACAGUUGGAAACGACUGCUAAUACCGCAUAAGCCCACGACCCGGCCUCGGGUAGAGGGAAAAGGAGCAAUCCGCUUUGAGAUGGCCUCGCGUCCGAUUAGCUAGUUGGUGAGGUAAUGGCCCACCAAGGCGACGAUCGGUAGCCGGACUGAGAGGUUGAACGGCCACAUUGGGACUGAGACACGGCCCAGACUCCUACGGGAAGCAGCAGUGGGGAAUAUUGCACAAUGGGGGAAACCCUGAUGCAGCGACGCCGCGUGGAGGAAGAAGGUCUUCGGAUUGUAAACUCCUGUUGUUGAGGAAGAUAAUGACGGUACUCAACAAGGAAGUGACGGCUAACUACGUG
rnacentral:rRNA from 1 species